GCCAUGAGAGCUAAUGUUCAAAGUGGACAAUAUCAUACCAUUGUGGAGAGUCGUGUUCGUCUAACAAAGUGCACAUAUGUGAAGUGAAUAGAAAAGCUAUCAGUAUAGAACUUCACUAGUCUCGUGGUAUCAAAUUGGUAGAUUCUUACUCUUUUUUGUCUUAAUCCAUGAAUGUUUGAACCAACUUACUAGUCUCAUGGUAUCAAAUUGGUAAAUUCUUACUCUUUUUUGUCUUGAUCCAUGAGUGUUCGAACCAACUUGCAUGCAUACAUCUGACUCUACAAUAUUUAAGAUAUGAAAUCUUGGGUCGAUGGCCACCAUGGGUUUAAACCAAUUUGCUCCAAGCCUUUUACUAUUAUCAUGUUCCUUAUUGACCACUAGGUCAAUCCAUGGUGGCGAAUCCAUCUUGUAUACUCUCUGUUGGAAUAUUUCUGCCAUAGAAGGUGCUUCCAAUCUGUUGGCAACCACUCAUACAAACCAGGGUUACUGCUUGUUUUCUGUCAUUGAUUUGUAAUGGGUUUGCCUUAAUUUUGUCCAAGUUAGUGGUCAGUUUCUUGUUGAGGGAUCUUUAUAAUGUUGUUAGCUGAUCAAGCAUUGUUUUGUA